GUACGAAAUCUCGAGNAAGUUAUUUAGUUAANUUUNGUUAAANGAAAGUUUAGGUUAAAGUAUUUUUGUUAGUGUAAUUAUUAGGUUUUUAGAAGUAAAUAACAUUAGGUAAAAUAAGAAUUUAUAUUUGACGUGGAACUGGACUGUAAAAUAGGAUUAUUUAUAGAAUUAUUAAUUUNAGGAGAUUAGCUUUAUUAGACUACUGCCGCUAUAUGUUUAAUAUUUAAAUUCAGUUAAGUUAGCACAUUAUAGUUAAUGUUUUGUCUAAGGAGACUUAUCUUAUUUUGUGGCGGUUUAAGAAAUUCAAAGUUCUAGAAUAGAGAAUGAUGAAUUUAGAAGAAAUAAAUGUAAAUAA
rnacentral:rRNA from 1 species